rnacentral:rRNA from 1 species
UACGGGGGGGGCAAGCGUUGUUCGGAAUUACUGGGCGUAAAGGGCUCGUAGGCGGCCAACUAAGUCAGACGUGAAAUCCCUCGGCUUAACCGGGGAACUGCGUCUGAUACUGGAUGGCUAGAGGUUGGGAGAGGGAUGCGGAAUUCCAGGUGUAGCGGUGAAAUGCGUAGAUAUCUGGAGGAACACCGGUGGCGAAGGCGGCAUCCUGGACCAAUUCUGACGCUGAGUAGCGAAAUCCAGGGGAGCAAACGGC